AGAGUUUGAUCAUGGCUCAGAUUGAACGCUGGCGGCAGGCCUAACACAUGCAAGUCGAACGGUAACAGGAAGCAGCUUGCUGCUUCGCUGACGAGUGGCGGACGGGUGAGUAAUGUCUGGGAAACUGCCUGAUGGAGGGGGAUAACUACUGGAAACGGUAGCUAAUACCGCAUAACGUCGCAAGACCAAAGAGGGGGACCUUCGGGCCUCUUGCCAUCGGAUGUGCCCAGAUGGGAUUAGCUAGUAGGUGGGGUAACGGCUCACCUAGGCGACGAUCCCUAGCUGGUCUGAGAGGAUGACCAGCCACACUGGAACUGAGACACGGUCCAGACUCCUACGGGAGGCAGCAGUGGGGAAUAUUGCACAAUGGGCGCAAGCCUGAUGCAGCCAUGCCGCGUGUAUGAAGAAGGCCUUCGGGUUGUAAAGUACUUUCAGCGGGGAGGAAGGGAGUAAAGUUAAUACCUUUACUCAUUGACGUUACCCGCAGAAGAAGCACCGGCUAACUCCGUGCCAGCAGCCGCGGUAAUACGGAGGGUGCAAGCGUUAAUCGGAAUUACUGGGCGUAAAGCGCACGCAGGCGGUUUGUUAAGUCAGAUGUGAAAUCCCCGGGCUCAACCUGGGAACUGCAUCUGAUACUGGCAAGCUUGAGUCUCGUAGAGGGGGGUAGAAUUCCAGGUGUAGCGGUGAAAUGCGUAGAGAUCUGGAGGAAUACCGGUGGCGAAGGCGGCCCCCUGGACGAAGACUGACGCUCAGGUGCGAAAGCGUGGGGAGCAAACAGGAUUAGAUACCCUGGUAGUCCACGCCGUAAACGAUGUCGACUUGGAGGUUGUGCCCUUGAGGCGUGGCUUCCGGAGCUAACGCGUUAAGUCGACCGCCUGGGGAGUACGGCCGCAAGGUUAAAACUCAAAUGAAUUGACGGGGGCCCGCACAAGCGGUGGAGCAUGUGGUUUAAUUCGAUGCAACGCGAAGAACCUUACCUGGUCUUGACAUCCACAGAACUUUCCAGAGAUGGAUUGGUGCCUUCGGGAACUGUGAGACAGGUGCUGCAUGGCUGUCGUCAGCUCGUGUUGUGAAAUGUUGGGUUAAGUCCCGCAACGAGCGCAACCCUUAUCCUUUGUUGCCAGCGGUNUUGCAAAAGAAGUAGGUAGCUUAACCUUCGGGAGGGCGCUUACCACUUUGUGAUUCAUGACUGGGGUGAAGUCGUAACAAGGUAACCGUAGGGGAACCUGCGGUUGGAUCACCUCCUUACCUUAAAGAAGCGUACUUUGUAGUGCUCACACAGAUUGUCUGAUGAAAAUGAGCAGUAAAACCUCUACAGGCUUGUAGCUCAGGUGGUUAGAGCGCACCCCUGAUAAGGGUGAGGUCGGUGGUUCAAGUCCACUCAGGCCUACCAAAUUUGCACGGCAAAUUUGAAGAGGUUUUAACU
rnacentral:rRNA from 1 species